CCGCCGAGCGUCGUGCGCCUGCGCGGAGAUCGGGGUGUUGGAGUAGCAGCAGACAGCAGACGGCACUUGUGGUUGGGGCUGGUUGCUUUGUUUCUGGGCCUUUUUGCCCUACGCCUGGGGGGCCAGCUCGGUGUCCCUCAGCGCCUUGCCUUCACCUCAGCUGUCUGCUUUUCGAGCGGCUCGAAGAGCAGGCUAAACCUCACAUCAAGCUGAAUUCUGAAGAUAUGUUGGCACCUGUGCACAAGCUCCCUAUACUGGACUCAUGAAACAAACCAGAACUAUCUAAGGGGAUUCCAAUCAACUGGUCAAGUUUAAGAGAUGGGUCCUGUUACAAAGCAGUGGUCUUCAGAGAUGAUACAGAGCCCUUGUCUUCAAACUUUUUGCUCCGAUCCCCUAAAAUAAUUUUGACAAAUAAAUGCUGCCUUGUGCAUAUUUAAAUUAGAUGAAAAUUUCAUCAUAAAUUUUAGUUACAAAAUAUGUAAUAUCUGCCAUAUUAAAAAUACUGAUUUUUUAACAUAAAAUCUAAAUUAGUUUUCCAAAUGUCCUAUGUAAUAUUAAUACCAUACUGAAUCAAUACCUACUAUCAUUCUUCCAAAAUAAAAUAUUUAAAAUAA